rnacentral:rRNA from 1 species
AGAAAAUAGAUACCCGGGUAGUCCUGGCCCUAAACGAUGUCCACUAGAUCGUAGCUGCUCUGACGUAGUUAUGGUCGAAAGCAAAAAGUGCUAAGUGGGCCGCCUGGGAAGUACGGUCGCAAGGCUAAAACUCAAAGGAAUUGACGGGGGCUCACACAAGCGGUGGAGCAUGUGGUUCAAUUCGAAGCAACGCGCAGAACCUUACCUGGGCUUGACAUGCUAGGAUUAUCCCUAUGAAAGUAGGGUAGGCCCUUCGGGGUACAACUAGUACAGGUGCUGCAUGGCUGUCGUCAGCUCGUGUCGUGAGAUGUCGGGUUAAGUCCCUUAACGAGCGAAACCUUUGCCCUUAGUUACUAACGGGUUAUGCCGAGGACUCUAAGGGGACUGCGGUGUCAACCGGAGGAAGGUGGAGAUGACGUCAAGUCCUCAUGGCCUUUAUGUCCCAGGGCC